GGGUUCGUGGCGCAGCAUGGAUAGCGCGCCGGCCUUCUAAGCCGGAGAUCCCGGGUUCAAAUCCCGGCGGACCCGCCA
rnacentral:tRNA from 1 species